ensembl:lncRNA
UGAAGACAGAGUUUUAUAACCACUGAAAUAUCAAAGAAUUUUGCAAUAAUUAGAAACGAUGGGUGUCAAUAUGAAUGACACAGGCUUUUCAUACUGUAUGAAUUCCUGAAGUCUGGUCAAAUCCUGGUGGUAACCAAUGUAGCUUCAGGGGGAAGCUCCCUUGUGCGGCACAAAGAGGCUCCACCUGGUUCCCAUUAACGUUGCGCUGGUUGGAUCUGCCCAGUGAUGGCGUCAGAAAGUAUAGAGCAGCGAAGUCUGCAAUCAAAGCCGUCGAUUCCCGGCCUAUAAAGCUAAGAGGCUAUUAUGGUCAUCUGCUCUGUCUGCCCCUCUGUGUGAGGGGCACCACAACUUUUCUCAAUUACACAUUACUUUUCUUUGGGUGGAGAGGAGGGGGAAAGUUUUACAACAAUCUUUCUUGAGUUGUGGACACACUAUUCCAGAACUGAUUACAUCUGUGCCAAGGACAGAGGUUUUGCCAGCAAUCAAAUUGAUUUAAAACAUGAAAGAGAAAAUAAGUGCUGGAGUUGUGCUGAACAAGCGGAGCGUUAUCUUUCUUCUUGCUUUGUUUGCCCGUGUGCACAAUGAAAGGAAGCUGGUGGAGGUCCUGAUCCAGGAAAGGGAUUAAGGCCUUUAUCAUCAGACAAUAAGUGGAGCAAAUUGCAGACCACAAACUAUUUCUCUUCAGCAUGCCGCUGAAGGGCUUGUGACUGAACUUGGUGCCUUGGAGGGACUAUGAGGAAGUACAGGGAGGUCGUAAAGAUGAGCGGCCAGCAAAUGAGGGAUGCUUAUGAAAGAUCUGCUGUCGAGCAGUGAGCAGAGGGAAAUACAGGAAAAAAAAAUGUGAAAUUCUAAAGCUUUGAUGUUCUGAUCAUUUGGAUUAGCUCCAAAAGGUGCAAUAAUCCAUCAUAUCGUUAUUCCAAAGCCUUUGUUGUUCAUCUAAUAAGAUUGCAAAGGAGAGCAUUUGAGACACAUGUGACUAAAGAUUAUACCCUGUGGAUUAUCAAAUACAUACAGCCAGUAACUAAGAACAGGACUAUUUGUUUAAUAGUGGUCCCAUUCCAUAUAAAUAAAUGAAAGGAUUUAAAAAACAGAAACAAAGACUUCCAUGAUCAGGGAAAUAAAAUCUUUGUCU